rnacentral:rRNA from 1 species
UGAAUACGAGAUGCUACGGCGUCGAAGCAGUCUAUGUCAUACUUCCAAGAAAAGCUUGCACUGUCAUAAACAAAUAAUGCCUGUACCAUAACCGACACAGGUGGGUAGGUAGAGUAUACUAAGGGGCGCGAGAUAACUCUCUCUAAGGAACUCGGCAAAAUGACUCCGUAACUUCGGGAGAAGGAGUGCCUUAUUUAUAAGGUUGCAAUAACAAGAUCCAAGCAACUGUUUACCAAAAACACAGGUCUCCGCUAAGUCGUAAGACGAUGUAUGGGGGCUGACGCCUGCCCAGUGCCAGAAGGUUAAAGAAGUUGGUUAGCAUCCGCGAAGCUGAUAACUGAAGCCCUGGUGAACGGCGGCCGUAACGAUAACGGUCUUAAGGUAGCGAAAUUCCUUGUCGGGUAAGUUCCGACCCGCACGAAAGGCGUAAUGAUUUGGAUACUGUCUCGGAGAGGGGCUCGGUGAAAUAGACUUGUCUGUGAAGAUGCGGACUACCUGCACCAGGACAGAAAGACCCUAUGAAGCUUUACUGUAACCUGAAAUUGAAAUUGGACUUUACUUGCGCAGUAUAGGUGGGAGGCGUUGAGAAUAUUCUUGCGGGAUUAUUGGAGCCAUCAGUGAGAUACCACUCUUGUAAUGUUAGAUUUCUAACUUUGUAUCAUUAUCUGGUCAAAGAACAGUUUCAGGCGGGCAGUUUGACUGGGGCGGUCGCCUCCUAAACGGUAACGGAGGCGCACAAAGGUUUCCUCUGAACGGGUAGAAAUCGUAUCUAGAGUGUAAAGGCAUAAGGAAGCUUGACUGUGAGACCUACAAGUCGAGCAGGGACGAAAGUCGGUCUUAGUGAUCUGACGGUGCUGUGUGGAAAGGCCGUCACUCAACGGAUAAAAGUUACUCUAGGAUAACAGGCUGAUCUCCCCCAAGAGUUCACAUCGACGGGGAGGUUUGGCACCUCGAUGUCGGCUCAUCGCAUCCUGGGGCGGUAGUACGUCCCAAGGGUUGGGCUGUUCGCCCAUGAAAGCGGUACGCGAGCUGGGUUCAGAACGUCGUGAGACAGUUCGGUCCAUAUCCGGUGGAGGCGUUAGAAUAUUGAGAGGAGCCUUCUUUAGUACGAGAGGACCGAGAAGGACAUACCUCUGGUGUACCAGUUAUCGUGCCAACGGUAAACGCUGGGUAGCUAUGUGUGGAGUGGAUAACCGCUGAAAGCAUCUAAGUGGGAAGCCCACCUCAAGAUAAGUAUUCU